rnacentral:rRNA from 1 species
UACGUAGGGGGCCAGCGUUGUCCGGAAUCAUUGGGCGUAAAGCGCGCGUAGGCGGUCAGGUAAGUCCGGUGUGAAAGUCAAAGGCUCAACCUUUGAAUGCCGCUGGAUACUGCUUGACUUGAGUCCGGAAGGGGCGAGUGGAACUCCUGGUGUAGCGGUGAAAUGCGCAGAUAUCAGGAGGAACACCAAUGGCGAAGGCAGCUCGCUGGAACGGUACUGACGCUGAGGCGCGAAAGCGUGGGGAGCGAACAGG